rnacentral:rRNA from 1 species
CCUACGGGCGGCUGCAGUGAGGAAUAUUGGUCAAUGGGCGAGAGCCUGAACCAGCCAAGUCGCGUGAAGGAUGAAGGAUCUAUGGUUUGUAAACUUCUUUUAUAUGGGAAUAAAGUGAGGAACGUGUUCCUUUUUGUAUGUACCAUAUGAAUAAGGAUCGGCUAACUCCGUGCCAGCAGCCGCGGUAAUACGGAGGAUCCGAGCGUUAUCCGGAUUUAUUGGGUUUAAAGGGAGCGUAGGUGGAUUGUUAAGUCAGUUGUGAAAGUUUGCGGCUCAACCGUAAAAUUGCAGUUGAAACUGGCAGUCUUGAGUACAGUAGAGGUGGGCGGAAUUCGUGGUGUAGCGGUGAAAUGCAUAGAUAUCACGCAGAACUCCGAUUGCGAAGGCAGCAUACCGGCGCCCGACUGACGCUGAGGCACGAAAGCGUGGGUAUCGAACAGGAUUAGAUACCCCAGUAGUC